UACGGGGGGGGCAAGCGUUGUUCGGAAUUACUGGGCGUAAAGGGCGCGUAGGCGGCCUGCUAAGUCGAACGUGAAAUCCCUGGGCUCAACCCAGGAACUGCGUCCGAUACUGGUUGGCUUGAAUCCGGGAGAGGGAUGUGGAAUUCCAGGUGUAGCGGUGAAAUGCGUAGGUAUCUGGAGGAACACCGGUGGCGAAGGCGACAUCCUGGACCGGUAUUGACGCUGAGGCGCGAAAGCCAGGGGAGCAAACGGG
rnacentral:rRNA from 1 species